rnacentral:rRNA from 1 species
GAUGAACGCUGGCGGCGUGCUUAACACAUGCAAGUCGAACGGAAAGGCCAGUGCUUGCACUGGUGCUCGAGUGGCGAACGGGUGAGUAACACGUGGGUGAUCUGCCCUGCACUUUGGGAUAAGCCUGGGAAACUGGGUCUAAUACCAGAUAGGACCAUGCUUUGGAUGGUGGGGUGGAAAGUUUUUUCGGUGGGGGAUGAGCUUGCGGCCUAUCAGCGUGUUGGGGGGGUAAUGGCCUACCAAGGCGUCGACGGGUAGCCGGCCUGAGAGGGUGUACGGCCACAUUGGGACUGAGAUACGGCCCAGACUCCUACGGGAGGCAGCAGUGGGGAAUAUUGCACAAUGGGCGCAAGCCUGAUGCAGCGACGCCGCGUGGGGGAUGACGGCCUUCGGGUUGUAAACUCCUUUCGCAACUGACGAAGCUUUUUGUGACGGUAGGUUGAGAAGAAGCACCGGCUAACUACGUG